rnacentral:rRNA from 1 species
UACGGAAGGUCCGGGCGUUAUCCGGAUUUAUUGGGUUUAAAGGGAGCGUAGGCCGGUCUUUAAGCGUGCCGUGAAAUUUUGUGGCUCAACCAUGAGAGUGCGGCGCGAACUGGAGACCUUGAGUGCGCGGAAGGCAGGCGGAAUUCGUGGUGUAGCGGUGAAAUGCUUAGAUAUCACGAAGAACACCAAUGGCGAAGGCAGGUCUCUGGGCCGUUACUGACGCUGAGGAGCGAAAGCGUGGGGAGCGAACAGG